UACGGAGGGUGCAAGCGUUAUCCGGAUUCACUGGGUUUAAAGGGUGCGUAGGUGGGUAGGUAAGUCAGCGGUGAAAUCCCCGAGCUUAACUUGGGAACUGCCAUUGAUACUAUCUGUCUUGAAUACCUUGGAGGUGAGCGGAAUAUGUCAUGUAAGCGGUGAAGUGCUUAGAUAUGACAUAGAACACCAAUUGCGAAGGCAGCUCACUACACGGUCAUUGACACUGAGGCACGAAAGCGUGGGGAUCAA
rnacentral:rRNA from 1 species